rnacentral:rRNA from 1 species
UACGUAGGGGUGCAAGCGUUGUCCGGAAUUAUUGGGCGGUAAAGAGCUCGUAGGCGGUCUGUCGCGUCAUGCUGUGAAAACUCGGGGCUUAACCCCGGGCCUGCAGUGGGUACGGGCAGACUAGAGUGCGGUAGGGGAGACUGGAAUUCCUGGUGGUAGACGGUGAAAUGCGCAGAUAUCAGGAGGAACACCGGUGGCGAAGGCGGGUCUCUGGGCCGAUACUGACGCUGAGGAGCGGAAAGCGUGGGGAGCGAACAGG